rnacentral:rRNA from 1 species
GAUGAACGCUGGCGGCGUGCCUAACACAUGCAAGUCGAGCGAGAUAAAUGUGAGUGGAGACUUCGGUCAAAGCAAUCAUUUUGAAAGCGGCGGACGGGUGAGUAACGCGUGAGCAAUCUGCCCCAUACAAAGGGAUACCCACUGGAAACGGUGAUUAAUACCUUAUAAGACCACGAAGUCGCCUGGCUUAGUGGCCAAAGAUUUAUCGGUAUGGGACGAGCUCGCGUCUGAUUAGCUAGUUGGUGAGGUAAUGGCUCACCAAGGCGACGAUCAGUAGCCGACCUGAGAGGGUGAACGGCCAAACUGGAACUGAGACACGGUCCAGACUCCUACGGGAGGCAGCAGUGGGGAAUAUUGCAAAAUGGGCGCAAGCCUGAUGCAGCAACGCCGCGUGAAUGAUGAAGGCCUUCGGGUCGUAAAGUUCUGUCCUAAGGGAAGAAUACAGUGACGGUACCUUAGGAGGAAGCCCCGGCUAACUACGUGCCAGCCGCCGCCGUAA